GAGUAACGCGUGGGUAACCUGCCUCAUACAGGGGGAUAACAGUUAGAAAUGACUGCUAAUACCGCAUAAGCGCACAGUGCUGCAUGGCACAGUGUGAAAAACUCCGGUGGUAUGAGAUGGACCCGCGUCUGAUUAGCUAGUUGGUGGGGUAACGGCCUACCAAGGCGACGAUCAGUAGCCGGCCUGAGAGGGUGAACGGCCACAUUGGGACUGAGACACGGCCCAAACUCCUCGGAGGCAGCAUG
rnacentral:rRNA from 1 species